AAGAAAUCCCUUUGACAUGUAACGUUAUUGUAAAAUUUAUGUGCAUACAUUAAUACAUGAUUUCGGUGUGCGGUGAUGUAAUAAUGUUUGAAAAUCGUCCUUGUUAUGUAGAUUGGUAUUAAAAUUCAUUCUGCGUGUUCACGUGUUUGCAUAUUAAAUACGAGGAAAACCCAAUUGACGCAGAGUGCAAACCAAAAUUCUUUCAACCAGAUAAAAACAGGUAUUGGUGGGUAUUAUUCGAAAAGGCCAAUUGUGAUUCGCGACCUUAAUAAUACCUAAGGUACCUCGGGGACGUCGGAUAAUACGAAAUAAGCGAAAAUAAGCGAAGGCCAGGUAAAAAAAUCAGGUUUUAUAAAAGGAACGUAGCCGAACCACAACGUUAUGAUUAUUGGAUCACGAUUAUUUCCGAUCUUAAACGAUUUUCGAUGUUUUUUUGUUUGAUUUUAUUGAAUCAAGAUUUUAUUUCGUUAUAUGUGUUAAUUAGAUUAUUUCCUAUUGAGAAAGUCUUAAAAUAAACUUAUACUUGUAUUCAUUCA